GACGAACGCUGGCGGCGUGCCUAAUACAUGCAAGUCGAGCGCAGGAAACUGACGGAACUCUUCGGAGGGAAGGCAGUGGAAUGAGCGGCGGACGGGUGAGUAACACGUAAGGAACCUGCCUCAAGGAUUGGGAUAACUCCGAGAAAUCGGAGCUAAUACCGGAUAGUUCAACGGACCGCAUGGUCCGCUGAUGAAAGGCGCUCCGGCGUCACCUUGAGAUGGCCUUGCGGUGCAUUAGCUAGUUGGGGGGGUAACGGCCCACCAAGGCGACGAUGCAUAGCCGACCUGAGAGGGUGAUCGGCCACACUGGGACUGAGACACGGCCCAGACUCCUACGGGAGGCAGCAGUAGGGAAUCUUCCACAAUGGACGAAAGUCUGAUGGAGCAACGCCGCGUGAGUGAUGAAGGUUUUCGGAUCGUAAAACUCUGUUGUAAGGGAAGAACAAGUACGAGAGGGAAUGCUCGUACCUUGACGGUACCUUACGAGAAAGCCACGGCUAACUACGUGCCAGCCGCCGCUGUAAAAC
rnacentral:rRNA from 1 species